rnacentral:rRNA from 1 species
UACGGAAGGCAGCAGUGGGGAAUAUUGCACAAUGGGCGCAAGCCUGAUGCAGCCAUGCCGCGUGUAUGAAGAAGGCCUUCGGGUUGUAAAGUACUUUUCAGUCGUGAGGAAGGUGUUAAGGUUAAUAACCUUAGCAAUUGACGUUAGCGACAGAAGAAGCACCGGCUAACUCCGUGCCAGCAGCCGCGGUAAUACGGAGGGUGCGAGCGUUAAUCGGAAUUACUGGGCGUAAAGGGCACGCAGGCGGUUAAUUAAGUUGGAUGUGAAAUCCCCGGGCUUAACCUGGGAAUGGCAUUCAAGACUGGUUAGCUAGAGUCUUGUAGAGGGGGUAGAAUUCCAUGUGUAGCGGUGAAAUGCGUAGAGAUGUGGAGGAAUACCGGUGGCGAAGGCGGCCCCUGGACAAAGGACUGACGCUCAUGUGCGAAAGCGUGGGGAGCGAAACAGGGAUUAGAUACC